GCGGCUGGGAGCGAGACAUCAGCCACGAUGCUGGAAUGGGCCAUGUCAAAGCUCGUGAAGGAGUCACGCCUCCUCCGCAAGGCGCAUGCCGAGGUCCGGGAGGCAUUCAAAGGCCAGCACGAGCUGACCGAGGGCGACAUGGGGAAGCUAGCUACGUCCAUCGGCCGGGUGAUCAAGGAGACGCUGCGGCUACACACGCCGGUGUCGUUCCUGCUGCCCCGGCAGUGCCGGGAGGCAUGCGAGGUGAUGGGCUACGACGUCCCCGAGGGGACCAGGGUGCUGGUGAACGCGUGGGCCAUGACCUAGGACGGCGCCUACUGGGAGGAUGCCGAGGCGUUCAGGCCGGAAAGGUUUGAGGAGGGGAGCGCCGUCGCUGACUUCAGGGGCGGCGACUUCGAGUUCAUCCCCUUCGGUGCCAGCAGGAGGAUGUGCCCCGGCAUAGCACUCGGCCAGGCCAACAUGGAGCUCGUGCUUGCGGGCCUCCUCUACCACUUCAACUGGGAGCUUCCCGAUGGCGGGAGGCCGGAGGAACUUGACAUGUCAGAGGCGUUCGGCCUGGCCAUACAGAGGAAGUCUAGGCUCGUGUUGCGCGCCAUGCAACAUAUUUCAGUCACAAAUUGA
rnacentral:rRNA from 1 species